UACGGAGGGGACUAGCGUUGUUCGGAAUUACUGGGCGUAAAGGGCUCGUAGGCGGCCAACUAAGUCGGACGUGAAAUCCCCAGGCUCAACCUGGGAACUGCGUCCGAUACUGGAUGGCUUGGAUUUGGGAGAGGGAUGCGGAAUUCCAGGUGUAGCGGUGAAAUGCGUAGAUAUCUGGAGGAACACCGGUGGCGAAGGCGGCAUCCUGGACCAAUAUUGACGCUGAGGAGCGAAAGCCAGGGGAGCAAACGGG
rnacentral:rRNA from 1 species